CCUUGCUGGUCACUCGGGGCUUGAGCCAGCUGAGUGGACUCUGUGGGAAGUGACUGGUCCUGGUGGCUCUCCCAGCCCCACCUCCUCCCAAGCACUGCUGAGGGUGCCCGGGCAAAGGCUCCGGCCAAUGUCCUUUGCUGGGGGCCGUGUGACACCCCAAGUUCAGGAGAGCUGGACCUGCUUCGCGUUUGCUUGUCCUUUUAAUCAGAGCAGCACUGGAGGUUCUGAUUGCUAAUCAGGGAGCACGAGGCAGAUAGAGCUCCGCAUCGUCAAACUGCCAUCAAGGUGCCUCUCUCUGUUUUCGAGAGCUGGGAAGCCAACAACAUGCUCAGGAAAUUGUUAUUUGUAUGGGGCGAGUCUUGGGGAGAAAAACACUCCUGACAUACUCUAUCUUUUCAAAGGCAGAUUUGAGGAUAAAAGUCUGUGAGUGGGAGAAAAUAGCAGUUCUAAAUGCAGCGAGGGAAAGCGAGGAUUGAUCGUCAAGGAGCAGGUGGGCGUCGGGGUUGGAAAUUCCCGGGGAAACAUCCGGGCUCUGGGGGAUUCUGGUGGGCUUCCUGCCCGGAGCCCCUCACACACGAGGGACGUCUUCCCGCUGAAGUCAGCAGGCUCGUCACCAGCACUGGACCGGCAGGGGGAACACAGACGCCGGAAAGCCAGGCUGACACACCCGCCGUGUCCGGGACGCCUGAGCUGUGUUCCUGUCAUCGCAAAGGUCCUCUCCUCUGCCGGCGAGAGAUCCAUCACUGGUCCUCCACGCCCGGCGUGCUCCGUCGUCCUCAGGGACCUGCCCUGGACGGGGCGCAGCACGCCUACCUGACCGCAUGUCCACCACCCUGCCGCUCCAAACCAGCACCCGUCCUCUGGCUGCGGCCAGUUCACAACCUGACUCAGCCCGGAACUCUCCGCCUUCAGUGCCUAGAAUGUCCCCUCGAGCAUUUUAUUUUCCACACGUGGCCGGCAUGUUUUCUUAUUUAUUUAUUUAUUUAUUUAUUUAUUUAUUUAUUUAUUUAUUUAUUUAUUUAUUUAUUUAUGUUUUCUCUUCUCAUUUGGACAAUUCUUGCUUCUCUCCUUAUAUUUGAAAACACAGGAGAGUAAAAGGCCGAGAUGCUUUUGAAGAACUGCGUAGGUGACCUGGCCCUGCCAGAUGUCAGCUGGUAUCAAGGCUACAGUGAGGGGAUCCCGGGGGGCUCAGUGGUUUAGCACCGCCGUCGGCCCAGGGCGUGAUCCCGGGGUCCCGGGAUCGAGUCCCGCGUCGGGCUCCCUGCAUGAAGCCUGCUUCUCCCUCUGCCUGGGUCUCUGCCUCUCCCUCUAUCUGUGUCUCUUAUGAAUAAAUAAAAUCUUAAAAAAAAAAAAGCUACA
rnacentral:lncRNA from 12 species